rnacentral:rRNA from 1 species
UACGUAGGUGGCAAGCGUUGUUCGGAAUUAUUGGGCGUAAAGGGCGCGUAGGCGGUUGGUUAAGUCAGCUGUGAAAGCCCGGGGCUCAACCCCGGAGGGUCGGCUGAUACUGAUUGACUAGAGUACGGAAGAGGUAGCUGGAAUUCCCGGUGUAGCGGUGAAAUGCGUAGAUAUCUGGAGGAAUACCGGUGGCGAAGGCGGCAUCCUGGACCGACAUUGACGCUGAGUGAGCGAAAGCUAGGGGAGCAAACGGGG